AGUGAACGCUGGCGGUAGGCCUAACACAUGCAAGUCGAACGGCAGCACAGUAAGAGCUUGCUCUUACGGGUGGCGAGUGGCGGACGGGUGAGGAAUACAUCGGAAUCUACUUUUUCGUGGGGGAUAACGUAGGGAAACUUACGCUAAUACCGCAUACGACCUACGGGUGAAAGCAGGGGAUCUUCGGACCUUGCGCGAUUGAAUGAGCCGAUGUCGGAUUAGCUAGUUGGCGGGGUAAAGGCCCAUCAAGGCGACGAUCCGUAGCUGGUCUGAGAGGAUGGUCGGCCACACUGGAGCUGAGACACGGUCCAGACUCCUACGGGAGGCAGCAGUGGGGAAUAUUGGACAAUGGGCGCAAGCCUGAUCCAGCCAUACCGCGUGGGUGAAGAAGACCUUGGGGUUGUAAAGCCCUUUUGUUGGGAAAGAAAAGCAGCAGGUUAAUACCCCGCUGUUCUGACGGUACCCAAAGAAUAAGCACCGGCUAACUUCGUG
rnacentral:rRNA from 1 species